GACGAACGCUGGCGGCGUGCUUAACACAUGCAAGUCGAACGGAAAGGCCCCUUUGGGGGUACUCGAGUGGCGAACGGGUGCGUAACACGUGAGUAACCUGCCCUUGACUUCGGGAUAACUUCAGGAAACUGGGGCUAAUACCGGAUAGGAAUCCUUGCUGCAUGGUGGGGGUUGGAAAGCUUCGGCGGUUUUGGAUGGACUCGCGGCUUAUCAGCUUGUUGGUGGGGUAGUGGCUUACCAAGGCUUUGACGGGUAGCCGGCCUGAGAGGGCGACCGGCCACAUUGGGACUGAGAGACGGCCCAGACUCCUACGGGAGGCAGCAGUGGGGAAUAUUGCACAAGGGGCGGAAGCCUGAUGCAGCAACGCCGCGGGCGGGAUGACGGCCUUCGGGUUGUAAACCGCUUUCAGCAGGGGCGAAGCUUGUGGUGACGGUACCUGCAGAAGAAGCACCGGCUAACUACGUG
rnacentral:rRNA from 1 species